rnacentral:rRNA from 1 species
CGGCGUGCUUAACACAUGCAAGUCGAACGGAAAGGCCCUGCUUUUGUGGGGUGCUCGAGUGGCGAACGGGUGAGUAACACGUGAGUAACCUGCCCUUGACUUUGGGAUAACUUCAGGAAACUGGGGCUAAUACCGGAUAGGAGCUCCUGCUGCAUGGUGGGGGUUGGAAAGUUUCGGCGGUUGGGGAUGGACUCGCGGCUUAUCAGCUUGUUGGUGGGGUAGUGGCUUACCAAGGCUUUGACGGGUAGCCGGCCUGAGAGGGUGACCGGCCACAUUGGGACUGAGAUACGGCCCAGACUCCUACGGGAGGCAGCAGUGGGGAAUAUUGCACAAUGGGCGGAAGCCUGAUGCAGCAACGCCGCGUGCGGGAUGACGGCCUUCGGGUUGUAAACCGCUUUCGCCUGUGACGAAGCGUGAGUGACGGUAAUGGGUAAAGAAGCACCGGCUAACUACGUGCCAGCAGCCGCGGUGAUACGUAGGGUGCGAGCGUUGUCCGGAUUUAUUGGGCGUAAAGGGCUCGUAGGUGGUUGAUCGCGUCGGAAGUGUAAUUUUGGGGCUUAACCCUGAGCGUGCUUUCGAUACGGGUUGACUUGAGGAAGGUAGGGGAGAAUGGAAUUCCUGGUGGAGCGGUGGAAUGCGCAGAUAUCAGGAGGAACACCAGUGGCGAAGGCGGUUCUCUGGGCCUUUCCUGACGCUGAGGAGCGAAAGCGUGGGGAGCGAACAGGCUUAGAUACCCUGGUAGUCCACGCCGUAAACGGUGGGUACUAGGUGUGGGGUCCAUUCCACGGGUUCCGUGCCGUAGCUAACGCUUUAAGUACCCCGCCUGGGGAGUACGGCCGCAAGGCUAAAACUCAAAGGAAUUGACGGGGCCCCGCACAAGCGGCGGAGCAUGCGGAUUAAUUCGAUGCAACGCGUAGAACCUUACCUGGGUUUGACAUGGAUCGGGAGUGCUCAGAGAUGGGUGUGCCUCUUUUGGGGUCGGUUCACAGGUGGUGCAUGGCUGUCGUCAGCUCGUGUCGUGAGAUGUUGGGUUAAGUCCCGCAACGAGCGCAACCCUUGUUCACUGUUGCCAGCACGUUAUGGUGGGGACUCAGUGGAGACCGCCGGGGUCAACUCGGAGGAAGGUGGGGAUGACGUCAAGUCAUCAUGCCCCUUAUGUCCAGGGCUUCACGCAUGCUACAAUGGCUGGUACAGAGAGUGGCGAGCCUGUGAGGGUGAGCGAAUCUCGGAAAGCCGGUCUCAGUUCGGAUUGGGGUCUGCAACUCGACCUCAUGAAGUCGGAGUCGCUAGUAAUCGCAGAUCAGCAACGCUGCGGUGAAUACGUUCCCGGGGCUUGUACACACCGCCCGUCAAGUCAUGAAAGUUGGUAACACCCGAAGCCGGUGGCCUAACCGUUGUGGGGGAGCCGUCGAAGGUGGGACUGGUGAUUAGGACUAAGUCAG